rnacentral:rRNA from 1 species
AGGCUUUGAUCCUGGCUCAGAAUGAACGUUGGCGGCGUGGAUUAGGCAUGCGAGUCGCGCGAGAAUGUAGCAAUACAGGAAAGCGGCGAAAGGGAGAGGACAACAUGGGAAUCUGCCCGGGGGUCGGGGAUAGCGUCGGGAAACUGGCGGUAAUACUCGAUAAUGUUUACGGACCAAAGGUUUACUGCCCCUGGAUGAGCCCAUGCCCCAUUAGCUAGUUGGCGGUGUAAUAGACCACCAAGGCGAUGAUGGGUAGCUGGUGUGAGAGCACGACCAGCCUCACUGGCACUGAGACACUGGCCAGACACCUACGGGUGGCUGCAGUCGAGAAUCUUCGGCAAUGGACGAAAGUCUGACCGAGCGACGCCGCGUGCGGGACGAAGGCCUUCGGGUUGUAAACCGCUGUCGAGGGGGAUUAAGGGCAACUGUAAAGAACCAUGUGAGGAAGGAGAGGCGAAU